rnacentral:rRNA from 1 species
UGGGGAAUUGUUCGCAAUGGGCGCAAGCCUGACGACGCAACGCCGCGUGGAGGAUGAAGAUUUUCGGAUCGUAAACUCCUUUCGAUCGAGACGAAUGGCCCUUGGGUUAAUAGCCUGAGGGAAUGACGGUACCGAGAGAAGAAGCCCCGGCUAACUCCGUGCCAGCAGCCGCGGUAAUACGGGGGGGGCAAGCGUUGUUCGGAAUUACUGGGCGUAAAGGGCUCGUAGGUGGCCAACUAAGUCAGACGUGAAAUCCCUCGGCUUAACCGGGGAACUGCGUCUGAUACUGGAUGGCUUGAGUUUGGGAGAGGGACGCGGAAUUCCAGGUGUAGCGGUGAAAUGCGUAGAUAUCUGGAGGAACACCGGUGGCGAAGGCGGCGUCCUGGACCAACACUGACACUGAUGAGCGAAAGCCAGGGGAGCAAA